AUUGAACGCUGGCGGCAGGCCUAACACAUGCAAGUCGAGCGGAUGAAGGGAGCUUGCUCCUGGAUUCAGCGGCGGACGGGUGAGUAAUGCCUAGGAAUCUGCCUGGUAGUGGGGGAUAACGUCCGGAAACGGGCGCUAAUACCGCAUACGUCCUGAGGGAGAAAGUGGGGGACCUUCGGACCUCACGCUAUCAGAUGAGCCUAGGUCGGAUUAGCUAGUUGGUGGGGUAAAGGCCUACCAAGGCGACGAUCCGUAACUGGUCUGAGGGGAUGAUCAGUCACACUGGAACUGAGACACGGUCCAGACUCCUACGGGAGGCAGCAGUGGGGAAUAUUGGACAAUGGGCGAAAGCCUGAUCCAGCCAUGCCGCGUGUGUGAAGAAGGUCUUCGGAUUGUAAAGCACUUUAAGUUGGGAGGAAGGGCAGUAAGUUAAUACCUUGCUGUUUUGACGUUACCAACAGAAUAAGCACCGGCUAACUUCGUG
rnacentral:rRNA from 1 species